rnacentral:rRNA from 1 species
AAGACCUUGCACUUUUGGAGCGGCCGAUGUCUGAUUAGCUAGUUGGUGGGGUAAUGGCCUACCAAAGCUUCGAUCAGUAGCUGGUCUGAGAGGACGGCCAGCCACACUGGGACUGAGACACUGCCCAGACUCCUACGGGAGGCAGCAGUGGGGAAUUUUGGACAAUGGGCGCAAGCCUGAUCCAGCCAUGCCGCGUGAGUGAAGAAGGCCUUCGGGUUGUAAAGCUCUUUCAGCCGGGAAGAAAAGGUUGCGAUUAAUAAUCGCAAUUUAUGACGGUACCGGAAGAAGAAGCACCGGCUAACUACGUGCCAGCAGCCGCGGUAAUACGUAGGGUGCGAGCGUUAAUCGGAAUUACUGGGCGUAAAGGGUGCGCAGGCGGUUUUGUAAGUCAGAUGUGAAAUCCCCGGGCUUAACCUGGGAACU